AGGAAGAAAGAAGAGUUAGGACGAGAGCGCCGCGGAGUCCUCCCACACCAGCAUCCCUCUGCUGUGGUUCCAGGUGGGUGCUGAGCCCCUGGGUGUCUCUCUCAUCUGCUAACAGAAAUGGCACCACGGAGAGUUAGUCUUUUCCUUCCUUUUCUCCCGACCUCCCUCAGCAAAUGCUAAUUGCAUUUUCAGUUCUGUGAGAAAGAUCUGGAAUCUGAUUCCCAGGCUGCAGGGAGUGGUGUCUGGCGUAACCACCCUUCUGCGUCACAGCGCUGCUCUUCCGUGGGUGAAAGUGUAACCGCUCAUUGCUUUGCUUUGAAGGAGCACUUCGUCUCUUCAGCCAGAGAUUCCAGAGCGGCUGGGGGGAACUGUCAACCACAACAGGAGCAAGUUCUUUUUCGGAGGGACCCUAGCACACGCCUUGCUGCACACACCAGAAAAGAGCAAAGCCACAUAUCCGUCCCUGGGGAUGUCCCUCCUAUGUGCCAUCUCAUCUGCCACACCAGACAGAUCAAAUGCACAGGGAGCUUUGUCUGCAAACUUUGACUUGAAGGGGUCUUAAAGCCAUGCAUUUACAUGUUUGGGGGACAAAUAAUUUCGAUGCUUAAGAAAGAGUUGGCAGCUAAUUGAAAUGGUACAUAGGUGUGCCGUGGCCCACGGUGUGGAGGUAGCCAGGCGUGGGCAUCCCUCUAGAAGGAGGCACGCGUUGGUCACACAGAACGUCAUUUAGAUUGACAAAGCAGAACUGCACUUUUUCUGCAUUGAAAUUUUUAUUCAAAUUUUAGUCUUUCUCCUUGGGUUUCCCCUUUUAUGAAAUGAUCAGUUUUGGUGAAGAGUCCCCAGAAAGCAAGACAGAAAAGAAAUAUGCUCUUCACCGUGGCUGAUGAGCAAUGAACUAACACUGUCCUCAUCUAAUUCUAUGUCUUCCACACUGCCCAGUAAAUGCAUAACCAGAGUGCGGACGCCAAGAAUCCUUACAAAUAAUGCAACUAACAGACCAAGCCCAGGAGCCAAAGCUCAGCCAGCCCGAGCGAGCCAGGAUUAGAGCCUGCGUGGAUGCAGCAGUCACGCUUCUCUCUAUUAUGUGUCUUGCAACUUGGAGUCGCAUGAUCUACGCAUCUGAUCCGCCCUGGGCUCAGGUCAGGAUAAGACUGAAGUCACAAGGUGAGGGUUAGACUGACCUCCUCUCUCAGGACAGGAAAAGAACAGAACCUACUGCAAAAGGCAGAUACUGUUGCCUCCACUUUGAUGCCUCACAACUCCACAGCAACACUACAGGUGGGAAAACGUUCACAUGUAUGUUCGUGGAAGUUAAUGCACAUGGAAACAGGAGGCUCCUAUGAUGUUCCCAUGUGGUUUCCGAGUAAUGGGGUGACCUGCAUAGUUUUUUCUACCCAGUUCCUACCGACAAUGCUAGACUUCCAGAUUUGAGUCUUUUCCUCUCACUACUGAUUUCCAACAGCACCAGAAAGAACAGAAAGAUGGUAACAUGACAUUAAAUGCUAUGAAGUUCCUGUCCUCUCCACCUGCCUGCCUCUAAACCCCUCAUUUCUGGAGGAGCUGUGAUUUAUUAAUCUAUUGGAACUGCUCCAAGUCAACUCAUUCAGCCAUACGGCCAUAGUAGGCCAGUUUUGAACUUUUUAUGCAGUAAAAUUUAAUUACAACCAUAUGAUUUGCAAUUUGCUUUGAUGCAUCGAUGCUUCCCUUGAACUCUACGGAAAUUAAAUAAUUUUUAAAAGCUGCUUACAAAAAAAUUCAGGGAAAAUACUGAACUUAUUUAAGAAAACACAUACGUGUAGUACAUUGGUUAUAUUUGCACACAGUAAACAUGCAGAUCUAAAUGCAGCUUUCUGUUCCUCAGGGUGGUCUUGGUAAGCUCUGGCCUUGCAAGCAUUUCGAGUGACUGGUUGUAAGCCUUGCAUAUAUUGCAAGGAAAUAUUUGCUAAAUGGGGCCCCUCACUCAUCUGGGCCAUCCCAUCAACUCUGAGCCAGCACUCAACUCUCUCGGUGUGUCUAACAGUCCUUAAGCUGGCAGUGGAGGAAUUAGUUAUCCGGAUGGGAUGAAUCCGUGUUUCCCAGGUGAGCACGGUGUCUGCAAAAUCAUCACAACUGGCAACACCUAGUUCACCCUUGGACAUUCUGACUCAGUGAGCCUGUGGCAGAGCCCAGACAGACAGGGGUCUGGGCAUGCAUCCCAGGCGAUUCAGAGGCAGGUGCGGUACUGGCCAGGUGGGGCGGGGCCGUCCUGACUGCAGUGCUGGGUUCAGACACUGCUCCCCGGGGAGCCUCAUCUCCGCCCUCUUGUGGCCACACCCCAGAACUGCGGCAGUGUACAGCAUGAUGGCCCUGAGACUUGAAUAUUUGGAGAAUUUAUUUUCUUACUCAGAAUUUACGUUGAGGAGUGGAUCCUGCUUACCACUUUAUCUGACAUAAAGCAAGUAAGCAGCUCAGUUACUCACUGCUCACUUCAUAUAUUAAAAGCUUUUCCUAAGACCAGCUAUCCUUAAGAUCUUGGGCUGUGCCAUGAAUCGCCUGUUGUCCACAGAACCUCCCAGAAUUGAGGCUCAUGGCAGAGGUUGUGCACUCACCGAGGACGCAGGGGGAUCGUGUCUGUGCCCAUGUGGAUCCCAGCUGCUGGGCAGAGCACACUGCACAUCCAGACUCAAUAAAUACAUGGAGUCAAAGGUGAGGUCACUGAAUCAAUGAGUAUGUUACACACCAAGGAAGACCGUCCUCUCUGCACCCCGGGGAGGCCCCCCAGAGGCCUGGUCUCCUCCAAGACGAAAAUGCAAACGCAGGUGCCUCGGGGGGACUCCCAGGCCGUCUGGCUUCCGGUUCUCUCCCGGCCCUGCCUGGAGCUUCAUGUGCCUCCCCGUUUGCUUCACGAGAGCAGCUGUCUAAGAGGUCCAGUUUUCUGGGUGACGUUUAACGAUAAUAAAGGUGACUGCUUAUCUAAGGAAUCUGA